AUUUUCUUCGGAACUGAAGAUUUGGUGAUUGAGUGGCGGACGGGUGAGUAACGCGUGGGUAACCUACCCUGUACAGGGGGAUAACAGUCAGAAAUGACUGCUAAUACCGCAUAAGACCACAGCACCGCAUGGUGCAGGGGCAAAAACUCCGGUGGUACAGGAUGGACCCGCGUCUGAUUAGCUGGUUGGUGAGGUAACGGCUCACCAAGGCGACGAUCAGUAGCCGGCUUGAGAGAGUGAACGGCCACAUUGGGACUGAGACACGGCCCAAACUCCUACGGGAGGCAGCAGUGGGGAAUAUUGCACAAUGGGGGAAACCCUGAUGCAGCGACGCCGCGUGAGUGAAGAAGUAUCUCGGUAUGUAAAGCUCUAUCAGCAGGGAAGAAAAUGACGGUACCUGACUAAGAAGCACCGGCUAAAUACGUGCCAGCAGCCGCGGUAAUACGUAUGGUGCAAGCGUUAUCCGGAUUUACUGGGUGUAAGGGGAGCGUAGACGGCUGUGUAAGUCUGAAGUGAAAGCCCGGGGCUCAACCCCGGGACUGCUUUGGAAACU
rnacentral:rRNA from 1 species